rnacentral:rRNA from 1 species
CACGUAGGGCGCAAGCGUUGUCCGGAAUUAUUGGGCGUAAAGAGCUCGUAGGCGGUCUGUUGCGUCUGCUGUGAAAACUCGGGGCUUAACCCCGAGCCUGCAGUGGAUACGGGCAGACUAGAGGUAGGUAGGGGAGAAUGGAAUUCCCGGUGUAGCGGUGAAAUGCGCAGAUAUCGGGAGGAACACCGGUGGCGAAGGCGGUUCUCUGGGCCUUACCUGACGCUGAGGAGCGAAAGUGUGGGGAGCGAACAGG